rnacentral:rRNA from 1 species
UACGAAGGGUGCAAGCGUUACUCGGAAUUACUGGGCGUAAAGCGUGCGUAGGUGGUUCGUUAAGUCUGAUGUGAAAGCCCUGGGCUCAACCUGGGAAUGGCAUUGGAUACUGGCGACCUAGAGUGCGGUAGAGGGGUGUGGAAUUCCCGGUGUAGCAGUGAAAUGCGUAGAUAUCGGGAGGAACACCAGUGGCGAAGGCGACUUCUUGGCCUGUUCUUGACGCUGAGGCGCGAAAGCUGGGGGAGCAAACGGG